UCGAUGGUGCCCUCUGUUCCUAUAGAUGGUGCCCUCUGUUCCUAUCGAUGGUGCCCUCUGUUCCUAUCGAUGGUGCGCUCUGUUCCUAUCGAUGGUGCCCUCUGUCCCUACAGAUGGUGCCCUCUGAUCCUAUAGAUGUUGCCCUCUGUUCCUAUCGAUGGUGCCCUCUGUCCCUACAGAUAGUGCCCUCUGUCCUUACAGAUGGUGCCCUCUGUUCCUAUAGAUGGUGCCCUCUGUUCCUAUCGAUGGGUGCCCUCUGUUCCUAUCGAUGGUGCGCUCUGUUCCUAUCGAUGGUGCCCUCUGUUCCUAUCGAUGGUGCAUACUGUUGCUAUAGAUGGUACACGCUGUUCCUGUCGAUGGUGGCCUCUGUGUCAGUGGUGAAGGGAGUGAAUGUUGAACCUUAACCCUAUAGCAGGUGCCAUUCAAAUGGGCUGUUUUGUCUUGGGUGACAUUGAGCUUAUUGAGUGUUGUUGUAGCUGUGAUAAAUAACAAUUAGAGUCCCUGAAGUUUUACACAGACCUGCGGUAAGGGCAGGUUUGGAUAGUUUGGCCAGCGAACACCUUUGUGUGCCGUUGCAAUCAGAGGUUUGGCCUUAGUUUGAAUGUGCAGCUUGUUUAGAUGGAGAAAGCUGGUAAUGAUUUACACUGUCACAAAGUACUGCACUCCCACAUCGUCCUUAAAUCAUUCCUAAGUUGUCAGCACUUCCAGUGAACAAACAGAACUAGGGCAGAAGAUGUGGAACACUUUAACCUAGUUACUUACUCAAAACUUGCAAAGCAAUACAGUGUUUUGUUCAUGUUCAGCGAACUGGCUGUGCCCCACAGAGGGCUCUCAGCUCAGGCAGUGUUUGGGGGAGGUGGGGAUGGGGGGUUGCCUCGACACCUUGUCUAAACCAGAGUCAGCCUGACCUUUCAUGGAUACAGUAAAUUGGUGGAUAUGUUCAUCGGAUAAUAAGUCAGGGACCUGAACUAAUUAUCAUAAGAGUCAUAAAAAGCGCCAUCUUGUUUAUCAGUAUCCUUUAGGGAAGGAAAUCUGCCAUCCUCACUCAGUCUGGCCAACAUGUGACCCACAGCAAUGUGGUUGACUCUUAACUGCCCUCAGAAUUGACCCAAACCAUUUGUGGCUCACUACUGCCUUCUGAAGGGGUAGGAGUUUACGGGCAAUAAAUGCUGCCCUUACCAGCAAUGCCGCCACUCUGUUAGCGACAAGAGAUGACACUUCCGCAACUUCCUGUCUUUCCCUGUGCACGGAUGUUGAUUGGUCCACUGCAGUGUUUUGAGCCUCAGUCCCUGGUUUCCCCACGUUUGUGGAGUGUUGCUUUCGGUUGUCUGUCCCACUGACAGUUCCAUUCCGUUUUCUGGCCAGGUAUCGAAGGGAAGGCUGGAAUGGCUGCCAUCGCUGAUCCCAAGAACAAAAUCAAUCCUGACCUCUUCUCCCAGGACCUGAUAAAGGUGCUGCCUCCAUACGCCAGGCCAGUCUUCCUCCGCAUCCUCCCUGUCGUGGAUACCACAAGUACUUUCAAAAUCCAGAAGACAAGAUUGCGAAAAGAGGGUUUUGACUUGCACCAGACAAAUGACAGACUGUACUUCCUGGAUUCCAGACUGGGGAAGUACAUUCCCCUCGAUAAGAACGUCUAUGACGCUAUCCUGGCUGGAAAUUACCAUCUAUAGUUCGAUGAAUCGAGUACUGGGCAGUUAACAAUGUUUCUCUUUUUAAAAAAAAAAUCACCAAGAAAAGGAUGAAGGGCUUGACUUGUCUGAAGAGUUAAAUUAAAACCUGCCCAGAGCAAGAAAAAAACAAAUGUGAAA